rnacentral:rRNA from 1 species
UACGGGGGGAGCAAGCGUUGUUCGGAUUUACUGGGCGUAAAGGGCGCGUAGGCGGCCUCUGCAAGUCGACUGUGAAAUCUCCGGGCUUAACCCGGAAAGGUCAGCCGAUACUGCAGGGCUAGAGUGCAGAAGGAGCAACUGGAAUUCUCGGUGUAGCGGUGAAAUGCGUAGAUAUCGAGAGGAACACCUGCGGCGAAGGCGGGUUGCUGGGCUGACACUGACGCUGAAGUGCGAAAGCUAGGGGGAGCGAACGGG